AAUUGUUCACAUCCAUGAAUCACAUGCAAAGAUAGAAUGGUAGUUUCCCGACGUCCUUUGCCAUGCGGCGGAGGGAACGGCCGAACGGGGCCACUACGAUGGGCUAACCAAUGAGUUACGCGACUUAGCCGGAAUUCCAGAGUCAAAGAUGGGGGGUGGGGGCACUCCUGCCCUCCUAUAUAAACCCAAGUUUGUAAGCACAAAAAAACCCACAACACUACUGGCUAUAUAUACAUAAGCUCCUUUAUCUUCAGUUAAAAAAAAAAAGAGUGCUAUUAUUUGCAAAAUAAGCAAUGGAGGCUCAAGGCAAUGGCUACGCUAAUGAAAAGCAUUUGCCAAUUGUUGGCAAUGGCUUUCCUUUAAUACAUCGUGCCUCUUUCACUGGCGAUUUUGUUUUUGGCACAACAUCGGCUGCUUUUCUGUUUGAAGGCGCGGCAAACGAAGGGGGUCGUGGCCCAAGCAUUUGGGAUGAUUUUGUUAAAAUUAAUGCAUUGUUUGUCUUUUAUUUUAUUUGGACCAAGUUUAUGUUUGUAAUUGGGCUAGUUUGUGUUAUUUUGUAUUGAGCCAAAUGAUUGUAUUAAGCCCAAGCCUAUUUUGUAUGUAAAGAUGCUAGUAGUAGUAUUUAAAGGGAAAAGUAAUGAAUGUAGGCCAAGAGAGAGCAGCCCCACUUUUCCUUUUCUUUUUC